UACGGAGGGGGCUAGCGUUGUCCGAAGUUACUGGGCGCAAAGCGCGCGUAGGCGGGUUGGUAAGUCCGCUGUGAAAGCCCGGAGCUUAACUCCGGAGGGUCGGUGGAUACUGCCAGUCUUGAAGGUGCUAGGGGGAGAUGGAAUUCCUGGUGUAGCGGUGAAAUGCGCAGAUAUCAGGAGGAACACCGAUGGCGAAGGCAGGUCUCUGGGCCACUACUGACGCUGAGAAGCGAAAGUGUGGGGAGCGAACAGG
rnacentral:rRNA from 1 species